rnacentral:tRNA from 1 species
AGGCUUUUAGUUUAAAGAAAACAUUUGAUUUCGGCUCAAAAACCUGUGGUUAAAGUCCACAAUUGCCUG